GGGCCUCAGAGCUCUGUGACCUCAUAAUUUUCCUGUGGGACCACAAAGGUGGCUUCCACAGUGCAUAGUGGUUAUCAGCUGUGCCUCCCUCUUAGAGGUCCUCGGAGUCCAGAGUCCUCGAAGGGAAAUCUGACACAAAGAAGCAGGUGUGAGACCGGCCCCUUUCUCCCAUGCCUUAGACAGGGCUCCAGGGACUGCUUCAGGGGAGAUGUCAGAGGGCAGCAGGGACCGGGAAGGGAGGAAGAAAGCAGAGUGACAGUGAGAGGUGGGAAAACUACAAGAGGAAUUGUUUGUACGCUUGGAUCUGGACUUUUAGAACUGGUCAGGACCUGACAGAUCCUCCAGCCCAGUUCUCCCGGCUCUCAAACACUGGCAUCAUUUAUAAUUCCCUGGAAAAUCACCAGCAGGUAAAUGAAGGAGAAAAGAAAAGAACAAAAUCCACCGGGAACCAGAGACUUCCAGGCUCCAAAGACAGGCAAUCUCCACCAGGAACAUAUGACCUAGGAGCAGGAGUGAAGGAUGGGAGUGAAGCAAGGAAGGAAAGAGAGUCGAUUACAGAGCUGUUUCGUUGAGCUGGUCACAGCUCCUGUGUCCAAUCUCGUGGGGCUGCCUGAGAUGUCUUGAAGUCAUAAGCCCAGAGAAAGAACAGAGGGGAUGCCUUUAUCCACUGGAUCCAUUUUUCCAAUGAUCAAAGGUUUUGCCUUAUGAUUCAUAUUUGCAAACCAUCUGAUUCUGCUACCACCUUCUUCCGUUCUGCCUGCACCUCAGCAUUCUUGAGACAAUAGAUAGAAGCAAAUGACUUGUUCCUAGGCAACUUGGAAGUUCUGCCCCAGAGGCUGCAGAAAACCCUCCUGUGUCCCUGAGUUGGCUCUGUCCUUAAAUUUUGCAGCAGGAGAAUUAUUGAGCUGUUCUUGGGAUGAUUUUUAGCCUAUGUAUGUCUACACUUAGGAGGCUGACAUCUUAUAAAUGCAUAUGGUUUUGUUCAAAUGAAUACGUAGUUGACAAAUACUUGGCUAGAAGUUAUAAUGACAAAUUUAAUAGCCCUACUAUAGCCUGAACUGUCAUCUUUAUUUGGGUUAAGCUUGCUAAAUGUCAACUGGAAUUUUGUACUAUAAUAACCUGCAACUUGGUUCCAAAAUCAGCCAUGUUUUUGACAAAUAUGCUUUCCUGGCUGAAAACCAUGAAUGACCCAGAAUAGUUCAUAUCUUUGGAAGAUCCUUAUUUUCCUUGUAAAUGAAAGUCAUGCAUUUGGAAUAAUAACAUGAAAUGAUGUGAAUGGUAGGGACUCAAAAACUUUCUCUUCCAAAAAUAUUCUACAGAUUCAUGCUCAGGAAAGCCAAAUGCUCUACAAUAGGAUGAAGUGGCUCCAGGAGAGUUCUGUUUACUACUUUAAUAAGUGACUAAAUAUAUGGUAUUUACGCAUAUGAAAUUGGCUUAACUAGGACAUCUCAUUUCCUAGCCUUUGCAUAUAAAAGAGAAUUGACAGUAAUUCAGGUUAACUCAAAAUGUAUCAUUUAAUUGUCUUUGUCCCACAUGACUAGUAAGUAGGUCACUAGCCACUUUUUUUUUUUUUGAGACAGAGUCUUGCUGUGUUGCCCAGGCUGGAGUGCAGUGGCAUGAUCUUGGCUCACUGCAACUUCCAACUCCUAGAUUCAAGCGAUUCUUCUGCCUCAGCCUCCUGAGUAGCUGGGUUUACAGUCAUGCGCCACCAUGCCAGGCUAAUUUUUUGUAUUUUUAGGAGAGACAGGGUUUCGCCAUGUUUGGCAGGCUAGUCUCGAACCCCUGACCUCAGAGAUCCACCCAUCUCAGCCUCCAGAAGUGCUGGGAUUACAGGCAUGAGCCACCGCGCCCGGCCACCAGCCACUUCUAACCCUACUCUCUCUCGGAAGUUUUGAGUUGUAUGCACACUCAGACCUCUUUGCUUUCCCAGUGUAUCAGUUUUGACCUAAUCCUUUUUCUAUGUAUUUAACUCUUGCUAUAGUUCCUUUGGAUCGUAUAGUAAGAUUGCCAAGUGAAAAACUCCUGAUGUGUGUUCAAGUCAUAGACUCCAUUUCUAAAUCUCCAAAUUCAUAUGUUUCAUUUCUUAUCACCUUCUCCUUCCUCCUUCUGUCUCUACUUCUGUUAUUCUGUUCCUGCUUAUCCCAUUGGUCCUGUCUUAAGUUAUCCCUUGG
rnacentral:lncRNA from 1 species